rnacentral:rRNA from 1 species
UACGGGGGGAGCAAGCGUUGUUCGGAUUUACUGGGCGUAAAGGGCGCGUAGGCGGCCAGCACAAGUCAGUUGUGAAAUCUCCGAGCUUAACUCGGAACGGUCAACUGAUACUGUGCGGCUAGAGUGCGGAAGGGGCAACUGGAAUUCUUGGUGUAGCGGUGAAAUGCGUAGAGAUCUCCAAGAACACCCGUUGCGAAGGCGGCCGACUGGACACAUAUUGACGCUGAGGCUCGAAAGCAUGGGGAGCAAACAGG